UACGAAGGGUGCAAGCGUUACUCGGAAUUACUGGGCGUAAAGCGUGCGCAGGCGGUGAUGUAAGACAGGUGUGAAAUCCCCGGGCUUAACCUGGGAACUGCAUUUGUGACUGCAUUGCUGGAGUGCGGCAGAGGGGGAUGGAAUUCCGCGUGUAGCAGUGAAAUGCGUAGAUAUGCGGAGGAACACCGAUGGCGAAGGCAAUCCCCUGGGCCUGCACUGACGCUCAUGCACGAAAGCGUGGGGAGCAAACAGG
rnacentral:rRNA from 1 species